rnacentral:rRNA from 1 species
UAAGUAAUGUGAAUUGCAGAAUUCAGUGAAUCAUCGAAUCUUUGAACGCACAUUGCGCCCGCCAGUAUUCUGGCGGGCAUGCCUGUUCGAGCGUCAUUUC